rnacentral:lncRNA from 1 species
GAUAAUUUAAACAAUAGUGAGUCCGUUUUGUUUUUGUUUUUUCUUCUUUUCUUUUCAGAAAGUUGUAAUAUUAAUGAGUUUUAAUAUACCAAACAAAUAAAGUGAAACUAGAGGUAACAUAUAUAUAUAUAUAUAUGUAGAUUAAUUGGUGAAUAUGGGUUACUACCAGUUACCCAUUAUACAUAUAUAUAUAUAGAUAGAUAUCUUUAACUAUAUUGGACAAAUUGUUGGUGAGAUGGUGAUACGGGAGUGGGGUGCAGACAUUUGGUGGUGGUAUUUGGUAGCAGAGCUAUUUAAUACACUUCACUUUAAGAAAGACUUGUUCAGAUAUGUAUGAGUUUAUUUUUAAUAAUGCAGAACCCAGACUUUCUGGUGGAAAACCUGUUGAAAUAUGACUCAGAAUUUUAAUGGGUUUUUCCUGGGAGACAUUCUGUAAGUAGGCGAAUCUCUAUAAUAAGUUUCAAAUUUUGAUUCUUUUAGAAAAAGUUUUACCUAUUUGUUAACAUAUUGGGUAAAUUGUCUUCGACUAAUUUCACAAAGAGAUUAAUUUUGAUGAGAAAGUAGUGAAAUGAAGAACUAUAAUGAGAUGCAUGGAUGGAUUUCCUGAUCCUACAAUAAUGAGAUGUAUGGAUACAUAGUAUUAAUUUCAUAGUACUACCUAUUGUAAUUGAACUUAUGGUUGAGAGAUUGUAAUUAUAAAAAUAUAGUUCAAGCAAUAAUGA